GGCCCGGUAGCUCAGCUGGUAGAGCAGCGGACUGAAAAUCCGCGUGUCGGGAGUUCGACUCUCCCCUGGGCCACCA
rnacentral:tRNA from 1 species